rnacentral:tRNA from 1 species
CGGAGUAUAGGGUAGUGGUAGCCCGCAUCCUUGGGGUGGAUGUAGCUCCGGUUCAAUUCCGGAUACUCCGA